rnacentral:rRNA from 1 species
GGUGAACGCUGGCGGCGUGCCUAAUACAUGCAAGUCGAGCGAACGGACGAGAAGCUUGCUUCUCUGAUGUUAGCGGCGGACGGGUGAGUAACACGUGGAUAACCUACCUAUAAGACUGGGAUAACUUCGGGAAACCGGAGCUAAUACCGGAUGAUAUUUUGAACCGCAUGGUUCAAAAGUGAAAGACGGUCUUGCUGUCACUUAUAGAUGGAUCCGCGCUGCAUUAGCUAGUUGGUAAGGUAACGGCUUACCAAGGCAACGAUGCAUAGCCGACCUGAGAGGGUGAUCGGCCACACUGGAACUGAGACACGGUCCAGACUCCUACGGGAGGCAGCAGUAGGGAAUCUUCCGCAAUGGGCGAAAGCCUGACGGAGCAACGCCGCGUGAGUGAUGAAGGUCUUCGGAUCGUAAAACUCUGUUAUUAGGGAAGAACAUAUGUGUAAGUAACUGUGCACAUCUUGACGGUACCUAAUCAGAAAGCCACGGCUAACUACGUG